UUUCCUUUUCCUCUUAUUUCUUCUUCUCCUCCCUCCUCCUUUUCUUCUUCUUUUUCUUCUUCUUCUUCNNNNNNNNNNNNNUCUUCUUCUUCUUCUUUUCUCUUCCUCCUCCUCCUCUUCCUCUUCUUCUUCUUCUUCUUCUCCUUCUUCUUUUCCUUCUUCUUCUAAUUCUUUUCUUCUUUUCCUUUUUUCUUUUUCAUUUUUUCCAUCUUCUUUUCUUCUUUUCUUCUUCUAACCUAACUUACUAACCUAAUUGACCUAAUAAACUAACUUAAUAAACUA
rnacentral:lncRNA from 1 species